rnacentral:rRNA from 1 species
UACGUAGGGGGCAAGCGUUGUCCGGAUUUAUUGGGCGUAAAGAGCGUGUAGGCGGCUUUACAGGUCCGUUGUGAAAACUCGAGGCUCAACCUCGAGACGCCGGUGGAAACCGUAAGGCUAGAGUCCGGAAGAGGAGAGUGGAAUUCCGUGGUGUAGCGGUGAAAUGCGCAGAUAUCAGGAAGAACACCCGUGGCUAAGGCGGCUCUCUAGUACGGUACUGACGCUGAGACGCGAAAGCGUGGGGAGCGAACAGG